rnacentral:rRNA from 1 species
UACGAAGGGGGCUAGCGUUGUUCGGAAUUACUGGGCGUAAAGCGCGCGCAGGCGGCCCAUCAAGUCAGGGGUGAAAGCCCGGAGCUCAACUCCGGAAUUGCCUUUGAAACUGGUGGGCUUGAGUACGGGAGAGGUGAGUGGAAUUCCCAGUGUAGAGGUGAAAUUCGUAGAUAUUGGGAAGAACACCGGUGGCGAAGGCGGCUCACUGGCCCGUUUCUGACGCUCAGGCGCGACAGCGUGGGGAUCAAACGGA